UGGAGAGCUGUAGACGUAUGGUGGAGGAGGAGACUUGUAUACAACCUUAGGGGAUGGAGAGUAGUACGGUGGUGGUGGGGAACUGUAAACAUAUGGUGGUGGAGGAGACUUGUAGUCUACCUUAGGGGAUGGAGAGUAGUAUGGUGGUGGUGGAGAACUAUAGACAUAUGGAGGAGGAGGAGACUUGUAUACAACCUUAGGGGAUGGAGAAUAGUAUGGUGGUGGUGGAGAGCUGUAAACAUACGGUGGUGGAGGAGACUUGUAGUGAACCUUAGGUGUUGGAGAGUAAUAUGGUGGUGGUGGAGAACUGUAAACAUAUGGUGGUGGAGGAGACUUGUAUACAACCUUAGGAGAUGGAGAGUAAUAUGGUGGUGGUGGAGAGUUAUAGACGUAUGGGGGAGGAGAAGACUUGUAUACGACCUUUGGAGAUGGGGAAUAACAUGGAGGAGGUGGUGGACACACACAUACAUGUGGGUGUGGUGGAGAUUUGUAGUGUACUUUAGGAGAAGGUGAGUAGUAUGGAGGUGGUGGAGAACUGUAAACAUAUGGUGGUGGAGGAGAUUUGUAGUGUACUUUAGGUGAAGGUGAAUAAUAUGGUGGUGGUGGAGAACUGUACACAUAUGGUGGUGGAGGAGACUUGUAGGCUACCUUAGGGGAUGGAGAAUAGUAUGGCGGUGGUGGGGAACUGUAAACAUAUGGUGGUGGAGGAGACUUGUAAUCCACCUUAGGCGAUGGAGAGUAGUACGCUGGUGGUGGGGAACUGUAAACAUAUGGGGGAGGAGGAGAUUUGUACACAACCUUAGGGGAUGGAGAGUAGUAUGGUGGUGGUGGGGAGCUGUAAACAUAUGGGGGUGGAGGGGACUUGUAGUAUACUUUAGGAGCUGGAGAGUAGUAUGGUGGUGGUGGAGAACUGUAGACAUAUGGUGGAGGAGGAGACUUGUAGUCAACCUUUGGGGACGGAGAGUAGUACGGUG
rnacentral:lncRNA from 1 species